rnacentral:rRNA from 1 species
UACAGAGGUCUCAAGCGUUGUUCGGAUUCAUUGGGCGUAAAGGGUGCGUAGGUGGCGCUGUAAGUCGGGUGUGAAAUUUCGGAGCUUAACUCCGAAACUGCAUUCGAUACUGCGGUGCUUGAGGACUGGAGAGGAGACUGGAAUUCAUGGUGUAGCAGUGAAAUGCGUAGAUAUCAGGAGGAACACCGGUGGUGUAGACGGCUCUCUGGACCGUAACUGACGCUGAGACACGAAAGCGUGGGUAGCAAACAGG